rnacentral:rRNA from 1 species
GGUGGAUGCCUUGGCAUGCACAGGCGAUGAAGGACGUGAUACGCUGCGAUAAGCGUCGGGGAGGUGCGAAUACCCUUUGAUCCGACGAUUUCCGAAUGGGGCAACCCACCUUAGAUAGCUAGAAAAUCAAUUUAGUUGGAGCAACGCUGUUGGGUUUAGGCCCAUACAGACCGCUAGGUCGUCGGCCCAUGUGGGCCGCCCCCGCGGAGCGCCAGCAUCGUAAGAUGCGUACGGCGCGUGAGCGAGAACUAAAUUAAUUUCUAGUUAUCGUAAUAAGGUAUCUACACCUGAAUACAUAGGGUGUUAGAAGCGAACCUGGGGAACUGAAACAUCUAAGUACCCAGAGGAAAGGACAUCAAACGAGACUCCGCUAGUAGUGGCGAG